rnacentral:lncRNA from 1 species
UAUGCUAUUGAGAAAGUCUACCAGUACGCAUUUCCAUAAUCUGGAAAUUGUGACAGAUAUUUUGAGGGAGAGGAGGCUGCCUUUCUUUUUUCCCUGAGAAAACACUAAAAUAGGUUUUCUGGUUUCACCAGGCCAAGGAGCUGAAUUAACAUCACGGAAGCCUGUAGGAUACAGAUCUCGCCAUUUCCACCCUCCCUGGUCCUCAUUGUCGACUUGCUCAUCCUCGUGUCCCCUGUCAUUCAUUCAGCAAAUAGGCUGGAGUGCUUGCUCUGUGCCAGGUGUCGUGCCAGGUGCCAUGGAUUCUGCAGUGCACGAAAUGGCCAAGUCCAUGCUCCUUGCCCAGUGGGGGAGAUAGAAAAAAACAACAGGCAAAUAAAGAAAGGAGCAUGCUCAUUCCGCGUUGUGGGAAGUCAGGAGGACAGCAAACAGAGUGAAAGAAGCCUCUUUAGAAAGAGAGUGCUACGUUCUCUAUCACAUCGCCGAGGCACGACUGAAAACAAGACCUUCUCGGAGCCCGCAGGAAUGCUUGUAAGGAUUUAAGAAGUCCAGUUCCUGAAACCAGUGUUGGCCUAAGUUGGCGUCUGACCUUCUCUCCCAGCGGCCUGUCGAGCUCUUAGGAGAAGAACCACAUCUUCUUUUUCUUUGUGUCCUCAGAUCUCCCGCGGUGCUUGAUUUCUCAGCAAACAUUUGGUUAAAUUACUGUAUUGACCUGUCUGGCUCCUAUUCCUUAUGGGGUGCUUAGUUUUCGUCUAGUCGUUCACUCACUCCUCCAGUCUGACAGUCAUUCAUUCAACAGAUACCCGGGUGUGCCGGGCACGGGUUACCUGCGGAGAAAACGGCCGAGAUGGAGUGGGACGGACAGAGCCCAUGCUCGCCUGGAGGCGGGGGAGGCAGACAGUAAUCAGAUGACGGCUCAGACACCAUCACCAUGAGAGUUGUGAAGGGAGCACGCCGGGCAUCUUCCAGGAUCAAGGCAAAGCUGGAGGGGUUGUGAGCAAGGGGAGAGAGGCCCAAGCCAAGGUCAGUGAGGGGGCAGAAGCCAGAUCCUGUAGGGCCUGGCAGGCCAUAGGACUGCAUUUGGAUUUUAUUCUAAUGUAAUGAGAAGCUAAUGAGGGUUUUUGGCAAAGCCCAAUAUAUCUGGUUUAUGUUUUUUGGUGUGGUAUUUUUUUGCUGAGGACUGAGCUAACAUCUGUGCCAAACUUCCUCUUUUUUAUGUGGGAUGCUGCCACAGCUUGGAUUAAUGAGCGGUGUGUAGGUCCAUGCCCCGGAUCUGGGCCCGCAAACCCCAGGCCACUGAAGCAGAGAGUGUGGCCUUAACCAUUACGCGACCCAGCCAGCCUCUGAUUUAUGAUCUUUAAACAGCCUUUCGGCUGCUGUGUACUGUGUGGAGAGGGGCUUGGAGAGGGGAGGGAGAAAGAUGGGGCAGCGGUGGACUGGACAGAAGGGGUUUUACUGGGGGGCGCCUGCAGUCAUACUGGUGAAUUGGAUGUUAGCUCUAACCACUAACAGCAGAUCACUCUAAGUCCAUGUCUUUAGAAGCUACUGCUGUGAAAGACUCCAUGGGGCGAAGUUUCUGGAAAAAAAGUGGGGGCAAUGAGGCAAAUACGACCAAGCUGGGCUCCGCUUGCUUAUGACUUGUGUCUCAUGUCCAAAGAGAGCUGGUGACCCGGACUCCCGGUCUGCCAUCCUGAGCCCGUCUUCCUCCUUACUCACUUUCAGCAGCAGGAAAAAAUCCUUGGGAACCAAUGCUUUUCACCUUCCCACGCUGCCCCUUCUGACGGCUGUUUAACCAAGCUAGUUUUAACCUGUAAAUUCCAGACCAUUAUUACUUUUUUUCCCUCUCAGGAUGUCUCUUGUGUCUCAAGAAAUACCUGUUUUUACAAAUAAAGUUUUAUUUGCACACA